CCACCACCAAAGCAUUCUCUGGUGUUGAAGGCCCUGCAAAGCAGCAUCGCGGUGGCGGAGCGUCGUUUGCGACGCCCAACACACAAAACAAGCGGUGAGUGCUUUGGGGUGGGGUGACUGCGUACCUUUUGUAUAAUGGGUCAGCGACUUAUAUUCUGUAGCAAGGUUAACCGUAUAGGGGAGCCGUAGGGAAACCGAGUCUUAACCGGGCGUUAAGUUGCAGGGUAUAGACCCGAAACCCGGUGAUCUAGCCAUGGGCAGGUUGAAGGUUGGGUAACACUAACUGGAGGACCGAACCGACUAAUGUUGAAAAAUUAGCGGAUGACCUGUGGCUGGGGGUGAA
rnacentral:rRNA from 1 species